rnacentral:rRNA from 1 species
UACAUGUGGGGCAAGCGUUGUUCGGAAUUACUGGGCAUAAAGGGUGCGUAGGUGGUCUGUUAAGUCAGUGGUGAAAUCCCGCGGCCCAACCGUGGAACUGCCAUCGAUACUGGCGGACUUGAGUGCGUGAGGGGUUACCGGAACGAGCAGUGGAGCGGUGAAAUGCGUAGAUAUUGCUCGGAAGGCCAGAGGCGAAGGCGGGUAACUGGCACGCAACUGACACUGAGGCACGAAAGCGUGGGGAGCAAACAGG